rnacentral:misc_RNA from 2 species
AACGCACAUUGCGCCCGCCAGUAUUCUGGCGGGCAUGCCUGUUCGAGCGUCAUUACAACCCUCAGGCCCCCGGGCCUGGCGUUGGGGAUCGGCGGAAAGCCCCCUGUGGGCAUACGCCGUCCCCUAAAUACAGUGGCGGUCCCGCCGCAGCUUCCAUUGCGUAGUAGCUAACACCUCGCAACUGGAGAGCGGCGCGGCCAAGCCGUAAAACCCCCAACUUCUGAAUGUUGACCUCGAAUCAGGUAGGAAUACCCGCUGAACUUAA